rnacentral:rRNA from 1 species
UGAAGCAGCAACGCCGCGUGGAGGAUGUAAGGUUUUCGGAUUGUAAACUCCUUUUGUUAGAGAAGAUAAUGACGGUAUCUAACGAAUAAGCACCGGCUAACUCCGUGCC